UACGUAGGGGGCAAGCGUUAUCCGGAUUUACUGGGUGUAAAGGGAGCGUAGACGGUUAUGCAAGUCAGAAGUGAAAGCCCAAAGCUCAACUUCGGGACUGCUUUUGAAACUGUGUAACUAGAGUGCAGGAGGGGUAAGCGGAAUUCCUAGUGUAGCGGUGAAAUGCGUAGAUAUUAGGAGGAACACCAGUGGCGAAGGCGGCCUGCUGGACGGUGACUGACGCUGAGGCUCGAAAGCGUGGGGAGCAAACAGG
rnacentral:rRNA from 1 species